rnacentral:lncRNA from 1 species
CUUCAGAAUUAUCUUGGACAUCAGUAUCUAAUAAAUAGAACCAUUUGAAAGGUCAUCAAACACUGUUUUCCAGAUCUGAUUGAGACAUUGCACUUUGAAAUUUCUGAAAAAUGCUGUCAGUGGGAAUUUUACUUCAAGUCUCAAGUUUCAUUUGCAAAGCUUUGGCACAGUUGAUUUUUUUUCCCCCAUUUGUUUUGUAGAAAUAACUGGGAUCCUAAUGAUUUACUUUAUUGGUUUUCUAAAUGAUCUUCAGAAGUCUUGUUUAUACUCACCCCCAUUACCUGGAAUCAUUAUUAAAUCCACGUCAAAUUUCUUGGCACCAAGUGUUUUUUCCAGUUCUAUUUCUAUAAACUGGCUAUGACUGAGGUUUUUCAAACUAUGGUGUCUUCCUCACAUGCCAUUUACUUGUGGAAAAUGAGGUAAUUUGAUAGAGUACUCCAAAUUUUGAGCACAACUGAAGAAUUCCACCAUAAGGCUAUUCCUUUUAUAAGGGUUAGUUUCCUCUCUGAACAUAUAUAGAACUUACCUUCCUUGAGCAUCAGCCAUCUUCUAAAAUGGUGCUAUCUAUAUCUACAGUUAUAGAACAGUUACAUAAUUAGCUAAAUGAGAUGGCACGUAGAACACCUGGUAUUGUGUCUAGCACAUUUUGCAUUUUUUUUUUUUUUACAUUUUAGAAUUAUAAGGAAUCACAAUUAUCAUCAAAGAAUACAGAUGCCUGGAUAAUUUUCCCAAAGCAAUGCAGCUAAAAUGAGAAGCCAAGUUUUCCAAAUUUAUAUUCAGCUCACCCUUGGAUUACUUACGAAGCAUGGCACUCUUUUAUGCAACACCAGGCUGACUUCAAAAGAGAGACAGAAUACCAAAAAAGGAAAAGAGAAGAACGAUAUAAUGAAGAGUGAACACAUAUCUACCUGAUAGUUGAUAGUAACACAUCCCAAAUACAUAUGCAAAGGUAAACAUAUUUUAGGAGAGACGGAGGACUACAUAUGUGAGCGAAAGGAGGGCUUUUUAAAAAUCGUGUUCAAGAUUAAAAACAAAACAAAAGCAUAACACCAAGGCUCAAUAAUCUCAACAUCUUGGGAAAACCAUUUAUUUUGUCACCACAUAAAAUAGCCUGAUGAUGAGAUAGCUCUACAGAUUCCUCACUUUAUUUUAUAUGGGCUGUAAACUUAAUAAUUACCCUAACAAAGGCAGUAUUUCCUGAGAUAAGAAGGAAAGAGGUAGACUCAUUUUUCAGUUCAGGAGGCUGCAUGAAGUGGUUGUCAUAAAUGAGAGUCCUCUACUAGAGUCCCCAGAUAAGAUGCUUUUUCACUCACUGCAUGUUCUUACUUGGGGGACCAUAGUUUAAAAAAAUUAUAAUAAUCAGGAAAACCGUAUCAGUCUUCAGUUUCUUAUUGGGAGUUUUUCCAUUGCCUCGUCUUACAUGUUUUUGUGUUUGAGUUCCACUAUUGAACACACUGAUUUUCUUUUUAAUGACAUGUUUUUCUAUUUUCUUUGAGAUUCCAAGAGAACGCUAUCAUGUGCAAAAUGAACAGGGCAGAUAUGGUUCCAAUGGUUUAUUGGGUUAAUGAUCCAUAAUAUUGAGAUAUCUAACAUUUUCUGUUAAAA